rnacentral:rRNA from 1 species
UACGGAGGGUGCAAGCGUUAUCCGGAUUCACUGGGUUUAAAGGGCGCGUAGGUGGUGUGGUAAGUCCGUGGUGAAAUCUCCGGGCUUAACUCGGAAACUGCCGUUGAUACUAUCAUUCUUGAAUAUUGUGGAGGUAAGCGGAAUAUGUCAUGUAGCGGUGAAAUGCUUAGAUAUGACAUAGAACACCGAUAGCGAAGGCAGCUUGCUCCACAAUUAUUGACACUGAGGCCCGAAAGCGCGGGGAUCAAACAGG